rnacentral:rRNA from 1 species
UUAUACAUGCAAGUCGAACGAAGUAGCAAUACUUAGUGGCAGACGGGUGAGUAACAUGUAGGUAUCUACCCUUUGGUGAGGAAUAACACGAGGAAACUUGUGCUAAUACCUCAUAAGUCUUUACGGAGAAAGCUUUAUGCACCAUUGGAUGAGCCUGCACUUGAUUAGUUAGUUGGUAGGGUAACGGCCUACCAAGACUUUGAUCAAUAGCUGAUUUGAGAGGAUGAUCAGCCACAUUGGGACUGAGACACGGCCCAAACUCCUACGGGAGGCAGCAGUGGGGAAUCUUGCACAAUGGAGGAAACUCUGAUGCAGCGAUGCCGCGUGAGUGAAGAAGGCCUUUGGGUUGUAAAGCUCUUUCGUCGGGGAAGAAAAUGACUGUACCCGAAUAAGAAGGUCCG